AAGGGCACCACAAGAACGCGUGGAGCAUGUGGCUUAAUUUGACCCAACGCGGGAAAUCUUACCAGGUCCGGACAUAUUGAGGAUUGACAGGCGAUAGGAUAUAUUAUUAUUAUAUAUAUUCAUAAAAAUGAUAGUCCUUUCAUGAUUAUAUGAUAGGUGGUGCAUGGCCGUUCUUAGUUCGUGGAGUGAUCUGUCUGCUUAAUUGCGUUUCAGAUAUAAUAAUAAUAUUUAAUAUAUAUUUUUAUUAAUAUUAUUAUGUAUAUAUAUUGUUCUGCCUUUUUUUAAAGGAAUUAAAGUGAACAUAUAUAUAUUAUUAUAUAUUAUAUUAUAUAUAUUAUUAUAUAUUAAAAUGAAUGCAACGAACGUGACCG
rnacentral:rRNA from 1 species